UUCAGUCCUCGGGUCUACACAGUAAUCCCUGAGCCACACCAUCCAGGGAAAAAUGCCCAUCUUCAUAUAGACUUUUAUAUAGAAUCAAGCUCUGUGAUAUCAAGUUCAGAAGUUUUACACCAUGUUUUCAGGAUAAGCUAAAGUGCAGAGACAAGCAACCACCCUCAAAGGUGCUUUUUCAAGCCUCUUAAUGAAUUUUAUAUAUAUGCACAUUGGAUUUUCUGUUAAGACAUAAAAAGCCUUCAGUGCAGUCUUCUGUAAUCAUGUGAUUUGAAAAAUUAUGACGAUCGUUAUUAGAGCUUUUCCUUGAGCAUCUUUAAUUAUUUCAGUAACCAUUCACAGUUCCUUCAUCCGAGAGAUUUUGGGCCAAAGUAUAGUGAUUAUCAGACUGAAGGAAAAAAGCUUCCUUGCUAUACUUACCACCUAACGUUUAUUAUGUGCUGAGUGUGAUCAAUUUUCACAUAUGUGUUAAUUGGCGUUACACUAAAGGACUGAACAGGAAAAGCUAUUUAACCUCAUCUUUAUUCACUUACCCUUGAAAUAUUGAAAUACUCCUGUCACGCUCCUCCUCGAAAAGCUGAACAUAAUGGCUUGAACCUUGUACAGAUCACCAUAGUUACUGGGCAUUCGUGGCAUUUUAUCCCUUACUGUGUUUUACUUUUACAUAUAAAUUCUUCAAAACUUUCUUUCCUGUGUUUUAUUAUAUCAUUUUUUUCUUGGCACAGUUAUAAAAUGAAUGUCAUUAUUUUACAUUUUUUACUCUUCUUUGGGGACCUGUGUACUGACUGCAGUCACUUCCGAGAGCACUGUGCCUUCCUCUGGCAAUAGGAAGCUUCCCAGCCCUGGGAACCGGAGCGAGACGUUCACAGGGAGGGAGAGGGCCAAAGGAAGAAUCACCAUAGGAAAGAGUUCUAAAAGAAAAUCCUGACCUUGGACAAAAAUGAGAGAAGAAAAGGAAUGAAAAAGUCAUAAAGAGGCAAGUGUUACCGUCAAAAGCCUACUCUCGCUGUUCUCUGACAUGGCGUGAUGUGCUCUCCCAGGGUAGGAGCUGAUGAUUUGAAGACCUCUGACUAAUAGUUUGGACGGGUUCUUUUUGUUUUUCCUUUUAGAAGGAUGAUAAUAAAAAAUUUCCUCUUCCUAAUGAUUUCGCCCCGUUUUAUAAACAUUGGGCUUUUUUCCUCCCUCCUAGCUCACAGUAUUUCUUCAACAGAAGUGGGUAGCCAUUGCUUCUCUGGGGCAGCCACGACCCACACCAGCACCCCGCCCGAGCUCCACUGCCCAGCCUUGGAAGUUCUGGCCAGUUCAGUAGUCUGCCAGCAGAGGACAGGACGUUACGGGGAAGACAGCAGGAUCUACAAGUGACAGAACUGAAACAGCAUCCGUCUGAAGAGGUCCUGCACACUAAUAAAGCCUCUUGCAGAGAAAAAGUUUGAAUGGAGACUUUCCUAGAAAAGCUUGCCCAAGAGCCCUGAAGACUCUGAUGAGGUGUUUCUAGCCCUCUAUCCACUUCUCACCCAAAUGUAGACACUCAACACAUCUUCUCCCUCAAGAAAGUAUGUGCAAAUGUGAAGGACAAACUAAAAGGUGGGCAGCAGAUGAGAGUGGGAGUGUCCUCUGUCCACCUGAGCUCUGCCUCCCUAAGCAAAGGAACGCUUGGCACACCUCCAAACCUGCAGCUGUCUCCUCCCCAGAGCUAGCAGCAUGAAACUGUGCUUUCGUGGGCCUACCAAGCAGUGUGUGGGUGAGAUGACUUUGCUGAGCUCUCUCUUUUUGGCUCCUGUCACCAUGGGAGAACAGUUGGAGCAACUACUGCAAAAAGGGCCAAUUGACCAAUCCAAGAAAGAGAGAGCCAGUGAUGUGCUUUUUAUUUCGCUUUCAGCAUGCCCAGAGCCCUUCAGCAGCAGGCAAUAAAACAGAACUCAUUUCCGCUUAA